CUGUGCUCAACUUAUGUAAUGUACUGCAGCCUUAAGAUGCAGUAUCCUGAUCAAGCUCAUGGUGUUGUUAACAGGAAGCUGGGUCAGGCUGUACAGGGUGUCACUUGUGAAAUGAUUGAAAAAAUCAAUCAAACUGAUGUUUUGGAAAUGGCACAGAUACUUAACGAAUCCUUCGCAUGGCUCUCCAGGGUUCAGGUAAACAUCACAUAUUUAUUUAUUUUUUUCCACACAUUCUUUCAUCAGAUAUGUCUCCAUGAUAAAAAAUGUAAUUUUUCUUUCUAAGAUUCGCUGUACAGCUCAAAAAAUCUUUGCAAGUCUGGAGGAACAGAGGCCAGGAUAUUUCACGAACAUUAACAACUCUGAGCUUCAGGCUAUCCCAUCGAUACUACUUAUCCAUCUGCCAGUGGAGCAGAUUCAAAACCUGUCAGAUGUUGUGUGUCCUGCUUUCAUGGAAAAGAUGAAGCAAGUCAACCUGUCAUCUCUGCCGAACAGCUCUCCAGCACGCUACACACUUACUAAAAGAGCCAUCGGCUGCCUGAAGGGGAACGUGUCUGAUCUUUCUGCGGCAGAGGUUUUGACUCUAGGCCCUCUGGUGUGUGAGUUAGACCCAGCUUGGAUUUCCUCUCUGAACCCUGCAGCUCUGAACUCCACGCUGAAGGCUCUCGUAUCCUGUCAGUAUAUCCAGCAACAGCACAGAGAGCAUCUGUUCAGACUGCUUACAACCACCUACGGGUAACAGCAUGUGCUAAAUCACACAUAACCCACAAGGGCUUCACACAGCCCACAGUCUUACGCAUAACCCCUGCAACCUCAGAUCCCACAUCAGUGCUUUUCUAGUUCAUUGUUAAAGAGACUGUGAAGCCCACUGUGGCUUCAAAACAAACGCAUCUUAAACAUUUGAAAAAUUCUUCACAUUAAACAGCCUUCUACUCCCAGCCUUGAGUCACACAGCAGUAAAACCUGUGCUUGAAUUAGAUGUUUUGCAUUGCUGUUAAUGAUGCGUUUGUCUUUUCUUUGAACAAGGGACCCUGCUUACUGGUCAGAGGAAGACAUGAGGGUGCUUGGGCCACUUUUGUUACUUAAUGACACUGUUAUUGAAAAGCUGCCGGCCAAAGUAAGAAUCUCAGCAAUGACCAGUAGAUUAUGGAAAAGUGGGAUUAGAUUGUUAAAUGUACACAUAUGUAAAAUAAUUUAAUAUUUAAAUAAUAAUAAA
rnacentral:lncRNA from 1 species